AGAGUUUGAUCCUGGCUCAGGGUGAACGCUGGCGGCGUGCCUAAGACAUGCAAGUCGAACGGGUUGGUAACAACACCGUGGCGGACGGGUGAGUAACGCGUGGGUGACGUGCCCUGGAGUUGGGGACAACCAAGCGAAAGUUUGAAUAAUCCCCGAUGGUGAUGCAGCUCCUGUGCUGUAUCUAAAGAUUUAUCGCUCCAGGAUCGGCCCGCGUCCUAUCAGGUAGUUGGUGGGGUAACGGCUCACCAAGCCAACGACAGGUAACUGGUCUGAGAGGACGACCAGUCACAGGAGCACUGAGACACGGGCUCCACUCCUACGGGAGGCAGCAGUUAGGAUUAUUCGUCAAUGGGGGAAACCCUGAACGAGCGACGCCGCUUGAAGGACGAAGCCUUUCGGGGUGUAAACUUCUGAACUCGGGACGAUAAUGACGGUACCGAGCUAAUAGCACCGGCUAACUCCGUGCCAGCAGCCGCGGUAAUACGGAGGGUGCGAGCGUUACCCGGAUUUACUGGGCGUAAAGGGCGUGUAGGCGGUUUGUUAAGUCCGAUGUGAAAGACCGGGGCUCAACCCCGGGAACGCGUUGGAUACUGACAGACUAGACGGCUGGAGGGGGUAGCGGAAUUUCCGGAGUAGCGGUGAAAUGCGCAGAUACCGGAAGGAACGCCAAUAGCGAAGGCAGCUACCUAGACAGCACGUGACGCUAAGGCGCGAAAGCAUGGGGAGCAAACCGGAUUAGAUACCCGGGUAGUCCAUGCCCUAAACGAUGAGUGCUGGGUGUCCGGCGUAUGCUGGGUGCCGAAGCUAACGCGUUAAGCACUCCGCCUGGGAAGUACGGUCGCAAGACUGAAACUCAAAGGAAUUGACGGGGCCCCGCACAAGCGGUGGAGCAUGUGGUUUAAUUCGAAAGAACGCGCAGAACCUUACCAGGCCUUGACAUCUGGGGAAUCCCGCUGAAAGGUGGGAGUGUCCGCAAGGAAGCCCCAAGACAGGUGCUGCAUGGCUGUCGUCAGCUCGUGUCGUGAGAUGUUGGGUUAAGUCCCGCAACGAGCGCAACCCCUGUAGUUAGUUGCCAGCAGUUCGGCUGGGCACUCUAGCUAGACUGCCUGCGAAAGCAGGAGGAAGGCGGGGAUGACGUCUAGUCCGCAUGGCCCUUACGGCCUGGGCUACACACGUGCUACAAUGGUUGCUACAGAGCGCUGCAACACGGCGACGUGAAGCCAAUCGCUUAAAAGCAACCUCAGUUCGGAUUGGAGUCUGCAACUCGACUCCAUGAAGCCGGAAUCACUAGUAAUCGCGAAUCAGCUACGUCGCGGUGAAUACGUUCCCGGGGCUUGUACACACCGCCCGUCAAGCCAUGGGAGUAGGUUUCACCUGAAGUCACUGGGAGCUUAAGGCAGGUGCCGAGGGUGGGGCUUAUGACUGGGGCUAAGUCGGAACAAGGUA
rnacentral:rRNA from 1 species